AACGAACGCUGGCGGCAGGCCUAACACAUGCAAGUCGAACGCUUCAGCAAUGAAGAGUGGCAGGCGGGUGAGUAACGCGUGGGAACCUUCCCAGUGGUACGGAAUAGCCCAGGGAAACUUGGGGUAAUACCGUAUAAGCCCUUCGGGGGAAAGAUUUAUCGCCAUUGGAUGGGCCCGCGUCGGAUUAGCUUGUUGGUGAGGUAAAAGCUCACCAAGGCGACGAUCCGUAGCUGGUCUGAGAGGAUGAUCAGCCACACUGGGACUGAGACACGGCCCAGACUCCUACGGGAGGCAGCAGUGGGGAAUAUUGGACAAUGGGCGCAAGCCUGAUCCAGCCAUGCCGCGUGAGUGACGAAGGCCUUAGGGUUGUAAAGCUCUUUUGGCGGGGACGAUAAUGACGGUACCCGCAGAAUAAGCUCCGGCUAACUUCGUG
rnacentral:rRNA from 1 species